rfam:Brevundimonas sp. KM4 contig_18, whole genome shotgun sequence.
CAACAGUCGAAAGGAGGUGAUCCAGUGUCUCAUUGUCAUCAAUCGCGAGCGGCGACCGCGACCCUGGCCCUCGGAGAGGGUCUGGUCUGAGCCUUUCAGACUGAGUUGCGGCCGGACCGUUCGCGGUCAGGCAAUGAAGGGUCGUCGGGGAAACCCAGCGGCCC